CCUACGGGAGGCAGCAGUGGGGAAUAUUGCACAAUGGGCGCAAGCCCGAUGCAGCCAUGCCGCGUGUGUGAAGAAGGCCUUCGGGUUGUAAAGCACUUUCAGCGGGGAGGAAGGCGUUAAGGUUAAUAACCUUGUCGAUUGACGUUACCCGCAGAAGAAGCACCGGCUAACUCCGUGCCAGCAGCCGCGGUAAUACGGAGGGUGCAAGCGUUAAUCGGAAUUACUGGGCGUAAAGCGCACGCAGGCGGUCUGUCAAGUCGGAUGUGAAAUCCCCGGGCUCAACCUGGGAACUGCAUUCGAAACUGGCAGGCUAGAGUCUUGUAGAGGGGGGUAGAAUUCCAGGUGUAGCGGUGAAAUGCGUAGAGAUCUGGAGGAAUACCGGUGGCGAAGGCGGCCCCCUGGACAAAGACUGACGCUCAGGUGCGAAAGCGUGGGGAGCAAACAGGAUUAGAUACCCUUGUAGUC
rnacentral:rRNA from 1 species